rnacentral:lncRNA from 1 species
AUAUUACUCUUGUACCCUUCCAUUUAACACCAAAAAUCUGAAGCAUUUAUCUCAUAUCUUUCUCUUACUUCAUCAAUUGCCGAAUCAUUUCUUGCGGAGUGUUGAAACUUGAAAAGCAUGAAUAGAUCAUAACCAGCACGAUGGUGAAGCUUGUAAAUCUAUUUUGUUUAGUUUAUGAAAAUCUUUCCUCCCCGGUUGGCGAAACUUUCCAGCUCAGUAGCUUGCAAAGCUCGAACCACGGACGCUACCAACAAAUUGUGUGAUGCAAUGGAUCGAACUAUGUUUAUGUAAUAGUUAUUGGAAUAUUUAUUUAUAUUCUAUUCUUAAUAAUAAUGGAAUUCAUGAUACACCAACGGAUCAAACUAUUAUAUAGGCAUUCUAAUGUUUUAUAAUAUUUGUU